CCGAUUUUUUCCUCCCUCCAAAAACCAAGACCGGUUUUCAUUCAUGCAUCACCAGAACCACACGCCCCAUGCCUAGAAAAACCAAAUGAACCAUUCCAUCCUUCCAUCGAUCCCACCCUUCCAUAUAAAACACUAAUCGUUCCAUCCUUCCCUUCCAUAUACCAGAGGGAUCAAAUCAUAUCGAAUAUUUUUAUAACAAAAAGCUUCCAUAAACACCAAUCUUUCCAUCCUCCCCUCCCACGAUUCUUUCCAUACAGAUGCUCCCUCCCGCAUUCGUUUAUUUCCUUCCAAUUAUACCAGGAUUUUUUUCCAGCUUCUGUUCCUCAAAAAAUUUCUCACGAUCAAGGCCCCUGCCCUUCCUUAUCUACCCACAAAUCUCGUGCCCCUCUCCCAGGUCAGGUUCCGGAGCCGGGUCGUCGCCGCGGAGUACGUCGAUGCGGAGCCGGAGGGCGCGGCGGACCGGUGGGAGAGGUGGAACGGCAACGGCGAGGCCUUCGGCGACGGCUCGGGCGUGUGGCGCCUCACUGUGGGCGACGCGGCGCCGGCGAGCAGGAGCCGGAGACGGAGGAGGUGCAUGAGUCCGACUUCCUGAUCCUCUGCAUCGGCAGUUUCAGCGGCGUGCCCAACAUCCCAGCGGUGUCCCCAGGCCCGGAGGCGUUCCGCGGGCGGGUGCUCCACUGCAUGGAGCUCUCCCACAUGGCCGACGAGGACGCCGCCGCGCUGGUUAAGGGGAAGCGCAUCACCGUCGUGGGGUCCGGCAAGUCAGCCUUCGAGAUCACCGCCGAGUGCGCCGACGCCAAUGGCGCGGGGACGCCGUGCACGAUGCUGUGCCAGAACCCUCAUUGGCUGCUACCAUCGGGUACCUCUACAUGAACCAAAGAACGCAUUUUAUUCUAACUGUUAGUCUGCUAUAUCCACGAGCUCACUGACGCCAGACCAGCAAGCAGCCCAGAUUGAACGGCACUGAGCUCCAAAUUCAACCGAUUAUAUAAUGCGCCACCCCCACAUGAUCCGCUACCAUAUCAAUGAUUGUGUAUCUGUAUUUAUUUAUCUACAAAUCGUUGUACUGUUGUGCUUUUGUUAAGCAGAUACAUGCAUGGCAGGGGAAGUUGAGCGAGCAUGGCAAAGCCAAAGAUAUCUUCCUUGGAGCUACCAUUUAAUUCAUAAGAUGUCAAGUAAUAGCUUGAAGUUUAGGUGAUAAAAAUGCUAAUAUGAUGAUCAGGUCAGGUAUAAUAUCACAGAAAAUGUAAAAAAAAUAUCAUUGGAGUUGUUUUCAUUAUAGUAAUCAGAAUGCUUUGUCUUGCACCAUUAUUUGUUGAACAUCUUUAUUUGUAGGAUGUAGGCUGAGUUUCAGAAGAUGAGAGUUGAAAUGGCUGGAAUGAGAACAAAAAAAAUGGCAGGUUUGAUCGGAUGGAAUUCACACACUUGGAUCGAAGGAUUUGUGAUAUCAUUAGUUGUCACAUUGAAUGGGUAUGAUCUACAAAUUUGAUCUGGGAAUGAAUGGCUAUGUACUGGUUAUGCCGAUAGGAUGAUAAAGGUUCAGUGUAUAGCCUGCAUUCCUGUCUUGCAAGUUUAAGUUGAAUUCAUGUAGUAGUUAUCACAACAUGUAUUGGCACUAUUAAUUUCUUAGAGUCUUGUCUUUACAGGUGUCUGCAAUUUCUGUUGUUUUAUGCAUCUAUUUGUAUGAUGCAAUAUGUUCCAGUUUUGGGAAUCUUGUUGGACUUAGUUGGACAACUACUGUGAUGUUGAUGCACAAAUACCAUAAUUUACUAUUAUCCGAAUUGCUUUAGGAAAGGAAGAAGGUGGAUGGAGCGCCGAGGAACAUGAUAAGGAAGGGGUCAGAUGAGAGAGGAGAGAAGAGUAGGGUGAAGGACGAGAUGGAGGGAAAGAGGGACAAGGACAUGGUGAACGGAGUUUCUUGAGGCGGAGGGUGGGGGCUUCUCGGAGGAGGAGAUGUUGGACUUCUCAUUGUCCUUGCUUGUUGCUGCCUUGCUGGGUAGGGGCCAGUCUGUCCUCAUGAGGUUGUUGUGAAAUUCCUCACCGAGACUUCAGUGAUGCUGGGACAACUCAAGCAUGAAAUGUUAUGGUAGUUUGUUUGGGAAAUUGUAAAUUCUUGUGCAUGUGUGGUAGAGUACAUUGGAAAAUAAGGUCGGGCAGUGGGAGGAUUUGUCAACCAGUUUCAUACUCUUAUUAUAAUUGGGGGUUAGGUUAGCAUUUUGUACAGCAGCUCACGUCUAAAAGAAAAUUUUAAGGUGC